rnacentral:lncRNA from 1 species
UCUUUUAACUGGUUAUCAUCUCUAAAUUUAAACGCAUAAAUAGGAUUAUUUUGCUCGUGAAGGACAACUCUUACAGGAUUGAGAUGGGCAUCAACAUCAAUAACAUCCACACGAUAGAGUCAAUAACCCAAUAUCACUCGUUAAUGACCUCAGUUGCGUUGACAAUGACAUAAACAAAAAAAAUUAGACAUAUACAAAACAAAUAAAACGAUGCACAUUAGCUAAACAAAACAAAGACAUCAAACAUAAUAAAAUCAGACCAAGGAUGGGGACAGAAUAAAAGAAAGAAACAUCACAAAU